UACGUAGGUGGCAAGCGUUGUCCGGAUUACUGGGCGUAAAGAGCGCGCAGGCGGUCGUUCAAGUCGCGUGUGAAAGCCCCCGGCUCAACUGGGGAGGGUCACUCGAUACUGAUCGACUUGAAGGCGGGAGAGGGAAGCGGAAUUCCCGGUGUAGUGGUGAAAUGCGUAGAUAUCGGGAGGAACACCAGUGGCGAAGGCGGCUUUCUGGCCCGUUCUUGCACGCUGAGGCGCGAAAGCUAGGGUAGCAAACGGG
rnacentral:rRNA from 1 species